UGUUGUUUGAGAACAUGUAAGCAGUGAGUUCUGGACAGAACUGCAAGUGAAGUGGAACAAUAGAAAGAAUUUCUGAAAACUUAAACAACAAGAAUGAGCAUUGAGAAAAAGAAUGGAACUGAAAGGGAAAGGCAGGUGAAAUGGGUCUGAUGGUGAACACCACUUGUAUACUUGGUAAUUUCUGGAACUAUUAUGUCCUUUGGGGACCAAUUCAGGUGGAAAAAGAAGACUGUAGAAAUGGGAGGGUGAAUUUGGGAAGUGAAGUUAACAAGAAGUUGACAGGAAGCUGAUACUGUGUGGAUGAAGGAAAAUAAGGUGUGAAAAUGAACAAGGAUUUGGAGAAGGCCUUGAGGUGUAUCUGUGCUGGAUACAGAACUGAGUUACUUCCAUCAGAUGUAUUCUCCCCAGUAUAUAUUUGCAGCACUCCUGUCUGGAAAUACACACAAAAAGGCACUGUUUUCACUCCAGCUGCUUUUGUUGAACCAAUGUUCAGUUCAACAUAGAAAGGGUUUGAUCAGCACACUUGACAAACAGACGAACAACUGCUGAAGAAACAGGGACUUCCUGCGUUGGCUUUGGUUGGAUUGGAUCUGAGAUCCUUGGUUGGAUCUGAGAUGUUCUAUGAUUGGGGUCAGUGUUGGAGUACCUGUACUUGUGUGGUUAUGUCAGGCUUUCUUAUCCUUGUGGUAUUUCAAGUGUCAUUCUCUGUAUUUCUUGAGUAUCUCUGUAACUUAAUCCAGUGCUCCUGGCUUCCCAUUCAUGUCCAUUCAAGGCUUCUUCCAUUGUGCUGUCAGAUCUGUUCGGGCACUUGCACUCUUAACAAGACUCAGAAUGGAUCCACCUGAAAAUAACCAUUUAUUUUGGUGAGUUGCUUUACAGAGAGAUCAGCUCCCUGAUCAAGUUCAUCGCUUGGUUGCUCAAACAUCCUGGCUGGCAGAGCAGAGAGGGAUCUAAGAUAGAGAAAUAUUCACACCAUGUGCCACCAGUGCUGUUGCCAGACAGGAAACCCAUGGUACUGCUCUGCCCUGAACUGCUUGUUUUAUACACUCUGCAUCUGAUGGACCAAAGACAUAUCUUACUAUCCUUGACUCAGAACAUUCAGCUCAAAGUUGACUAAAGGGAAAAGAAUCCUGUAGGCACACAGUUUGUGUGGAGUGGGGCUGCAGCUGAGCCUCAUCCCCAAUGGGCUGCAGCUGUGAAAAACAGGUGAGCAGCAUUGAAGGUAAUGAGAUUUGGACUGCCCAGGUGUACUGACCAAUCACCAAAGGGAACAGAAGGCACACAGAUGAAAUGCAUGAACAUAAGUGGUAUAAAAUGUUGAGUUGAAGAACAAGAAAGAGCAGAUGCUUUGAAGCCUUCUGGUGUUUUAUGGUGUUACUCUCUAUGGGUUGAACCCUUCUGAAGUUGUAUGAUGAUACUCUGCAUAUCAUGACAGUCUCAACUGUGACAUAUGCUGUAAUGGAAUCCUGGUUUAUAUUUUUAAGAAUUACAUUUCACAUGCUCCUAUUAGGAGCCCUGGAGACUUUUUCACAGUCCCCUUAAAUGAAAGAUGAAGUGAUAUCCAAGAAAUUCAAGCUUCCUGUGUUUGCUUUUAGCAGUAGAAUCCAGCUACAGGUGGUGAAGCUGCAGAGGAGCUGUGGGAUGAUAUUGAUGAAUCUGGUUGGAUGCAGUUUCUGAAUUUUAUGGCAAAUGACAUCAUGCUAAAUGGCCAUGUUCUCCAUUGGUUUCUCUUGUCCUGUUUUUUUUUCUUUUUUUUUUUCUUUUCACAUUAGGCAGAGCUGAAGGCCUAAUAGCCUUUUGACAGUGAAAGAUAUUUAAAUCUGUAGGCUUGCUUUCUCUCAGUUCCAUAAUCAUUAUUAGAACUGAAGAAUGAGGUAGAUAAAGGGAAUCGUCCAACAUCAGAAUUGCAUUUAAUCAUUCUGGUCUGUGAAUAAGAGUUUAAAGAUGUGAUUAUAGUUUGAAAUUACAGAAAGGGAAAAGAACAGAAGAUGCAUUUUUGUUGCUUACAAUAAAUGGAAUAAGAAGAUGGAAGAUUGUCUCAAAUUUUAUUCCAUUCAUUGCUCAUCAGAUAAGGCCAUUUUGAAAUCUGUUUAUUGCCAGCAUGGUGCUUGGAACACUGCUCAGCUUGUUUUCAUUUGAAAGGUGUUUUUGCUACAUUAGCAGCCAAGAGAGAAAUGGAAACAGAAUAAGAUCCAUGCACCUGUCUAACAAGAA